rnacentral:rRNA from 1 species
AUUGAACGCUGGCGGCAGGCCUAACACAUGCAAGUCGAGCGAGAGGCGGACGGGUGAGUAAUGUAUGGGGAACUGCCUGAUGGAGGGGGAUAACUACUGGAAACGGUAGCUAAUACCGCAUACCAUCAGAUGUACCCAGAUGGGAUUAGCUUGUGGGUGGGGUAACGGCUCACCUAGGCGACGAUCCCUAGCUGGUCUGAGAGGAUGAACAGCCACACUGGAACUGAGACACGGUCCAGACUCCUACGGGAGGCAGCAGUGGGGAAUAUUGCACAAUGGGCGCAAGCCUGAUGCAGCCAUGCCGCGUGUAUGAAGAAGGCCUUCGGGUUGUAAAGUACUUUCAGCGGGGAGGCGUUACCCGCAGAAGAAGCACCGGCUAACUCCGUGCCAGCAGCCGCGGUAAUUC